UCCAGUUUAUCACCGGCAGUCUCCCUAGAGUGCCCACCAUGACGUGAUGGCAACUAAGGAUAAAGGUUGCGCUCGUUGCGGGACUUAACCCAACACUUCACAGCACGAGCUGACGACAGCCAUGCAGCACCUGUGUAAUUGUCCCUUGCGGGAAAACGCACUUUCAUGCGCUGUCAAAAACAUGUCAAGCCUGGGUAAGGUUCUUCGCGUAGCCUCGAAUUAAACCACAUGCUCCACCGCUUGUGCGGGUCCCCGUCAAUUUCUUUGAGUUUCAGUCUUGCGACCGUACUCCCCAGGUGGUGGAUUUAAUGCGUUAGCGUCGGCGCCGGAGGGAUCGACACCCCCGACACCUAAUCCACAUCGUUUACGGCAAGGACUAC
rnacentral:misc_RNA from 1 species